CUUUUUGAAUAUAACAGUUUAUUGCUUUCAAUCUCUCAUAUUGUCAUACUGUGUUACAGAUUGUGAUCACUAUAUCAUAUUAUAUAGUGAGUUAACAGGACCUAACAAGUGGUAUCAGAGCCAGCUCUGUUAAGAUUACUACAGUGAGAUCUUAAUCACAAUCAUGUCUGAAAAAUCACAAGCUUCAUCCUUUAGAGUUCC
rnacentral:lncRNA from 1 species